rnacentral:rRNA from 1 species
GACGGAGGCUGCCAGCGUUAUCCGGAAUUAUUGGGCGUAAAGGGUACGUAGGCGGCUGGUCAAGUCUGGGGUCAAAGGCCACAGCUCAACUGUGGGAAGGCCCUGGAAACUGACCGGCUAGAGUGAGGUAGGGGUUGCGGGAAUUCCCGGUGUAGCGGUGAAAUGCGGAGAGAUCGGGAAGAGCACCUGAGGCGGAAGCGCGCAACUGGGCCGCCACUGACGCUGAGGUACGAAAGCUAGGGGAGGGAAUGGG